AGUGAACGCUGGCGGUAGGCCUAACACAUGCAAGUCGAACGGCAGCACAGUAAGAGCUUGCUCUUACGGGUGGCGAGUGGCGGACGGGUGAGGAAUACAUCGGAAUCUACUUUUUCGUGGGGGAUAACGUAGGGAAACUUACGCUAAUACCGCAUACGACCUACGGGUGAAAGCAGGGGAUCUUCGGACCUUGCGCGAUUGAAUGAGCCGAUGUCGGAUUAGCUAGUUGGCGGGGUAAAGGCCCACCAAGGCGACGAUCCGUAGCUGGUCUGAGAGGAUGAUCAGCCACACUGGAACUGAGACACGGUCCAGACUCCUACGGGAGGCAGCAGUGGGAAUAUUGGACAAUGGGCGCAAGCCUGAUCCAGCCAUACCGCGUGGGUGAAGAAGGCCUUCGGGUUGUAAAGCCCUUUUGUUGGGAAAGAAAAGCAGCAGGUUAAUACCCCGCUGUUCUGACGGUACCCAAAGAAUAAGCACCGGCUAACUUCGUA
rnacentral:rRNA from 1 species